GAUGAACGCUGGCGGCGUGCCUAAUACAUGCAAGUCGAGCGAACAGAUGAGGAGCUUGCUCCUCUGACGUUAGCGGCGGACGGGUGAGUAACACGUGGAUAACCUACCUAUAAGACUGGGAUAACUUCGGGAAACCGGAGCUAAUACCGGAUAAUAUAUUGAACCGCAUGGUUCAAUAGUGAACGACGGUUUUUCUGGCACUUAUAGACGGAUCCGUGCCGCAUUAGCGAGUUGGUAAGGUAACGGGUUACCAAGGCAACGAUGCGUAGCCGACCUGAGAGGGUGAUCGGCCACACUGGCACUGAGGCAGGGUCCAGAGUCCGACGGCAGGGAGCAGUAGGGAAUCUUACGAAAUGGGCGAAAGCCUGACGGAGCAACGCCGCGUGAGUGAUGAGAGUCUUCGGAUCGUAAAACUCUGUUAUUAGGGAAGAACAAAUGUGUAAGUAACUAUGCACGACUUGACGGUACCUAAUCAGAAAGCCACGGCUAACUACGUG
rnacentral:rRNA from 1 species